rnacentral:rRNA from 1 species
CGCGUAGGCGGAUCUUCAAGUCGGAUGUGAAAACUUGCAGCUUAACUGCAAGCCUGCAUUCGAUACUGAAGGUCUUGAGUACAGUAGAGGAAAGCGGAAUUCCAGGUGUAGCGGUGAAAUGCGUAGAUAUCUGGAAGAACACCAGUAGCGAAGGCGGCUUUCUGGGCUGAUACUGACGCUGAAGCGCGAAGGCUUGGGUAGCAAACA